rnacentral:rRNA from 1 species
CGUGUAGGCGGUUUGGUAAGUUGGACGUGAAAGCUCCUGGCUCAACUAGGAGAGGUCGUUCAAUACUGUCAGACUUGAGGAUGGUAGAGGGAGGUGGAAUUCCGGGUGUAGUGGUGAAAUACGCAGAUAUCCGGAGGAACACCAGUGGCGAAAGCGGCCUCCUGGACCAUUCCUGACGCUCAGACGCGAAAGCUAGGGUAGCAAACG